rnacentral:rRNA from 1 species
AUCAACUUUCGAUGGUAGGAUAGAGGCCUACCAUGGUGGUAACGGGUAACGGGGUGUUAGGGCACGACACCGGAGAGGGAGCCUGAGAAACGGCUACCACAUCCAAGGAUGGCAGCAGGCGCGCAAAUUACCCAAUCCCGACACGGGGAGGUAGUGACAAUAAAUAACAAUACGGGGUUCUUUCGGAUUUCGUAAUUGGAAUGAGUACAAUUUAAAUCUCUUAACGAGGAACAAUUGGAGGGCAAGUCUGGUGCCAGCAGCCGCGGUAAUUCCAGCUCCAAUAGCGUAUAUUAAAGUUGUUGCAGUUAAAAAGCUCGUAGUUGAAUUUCGGGGUCAGUAGAUUGGUCAUGCCUCCGGUAUGCACUGGUCUUACUGGCUCCUCCUUCCUGAUGAACCGUAAUGCCAUUAAUUUGGUGUUGCGGGGAGACUGGACUGUUACUUUGAAAAAAUUAGAGUGUUUAAAGCAGGCUAACGCUUGAAUACAUUAGCAUGGAAUAAUGAAAUAGGACGUUCGAUCUUAUUUUGUUGGUUUCUAAGAUUGACGUAAUGAUUAAUAGGGAUAGUUGGGGGCAUUAGUAUUCAAUUGUCAGAGGUGAAAUUCUUGGAUUUAUUGAAGACUAACUACUGCGAAAGCAUUUGCCAAGGAUGUUUUCAUUAAUCAAGAACGAAAGUUAGGGGAUCGAAGACGAUCAGAUACCGUCGUAGUCUUAACCAUAAACUAUGCCGACUAGGGAUCGGAUGAUGUUAAUUUUUUAAUGACUCAUUCGGCGCCUUACGGGAAACCAAAGUGUUUGGGUUC